CAGUCGCCGCGGUAAUACAGAGGGUGCGAGCGUUAAUCGGAUUUACUGGGCGUAAAGCGUGCGUAGGCGGCUUCUUAAGUCGGAUGUGAAAUCCCUGAGCUUAACUUAGGAAUUGCAUUCGAUACUGGGAAGCUAGAGUAUGGGAGAGGAUGGUAGAAUUCCAGGUGUAGCGGUGAAAUGCGUAGAGAUCUGUAGGAAUACCGAUGGCGAAGGCAGCCAUCUGGCCUAAUACUGACGCUGAGGUACGAAAGCAUGGGGAGCAAACAGGAUUAGAUACCCGCGUAGUCCCUGUCUCUUAUAC
rnacentral:rRNA from 1 species